rnacentral:rRNA from 1 species
GACAGAGGGUGCAAACGUUGCUCGGAAUUACUGGGCGUAAAGCGCGUGUAGGCGGUUCCGCAAGUCAGGUGUGAAAGCCCAGGGCUCAACCCUGGAAGUGCACUUGAUACUACGGAGCUUGAGUACUGAAGAGGAGAGCGGAAUUCCCGGUGUAGAGGUGAAAUUCGUAGAUAUUGGGAAGAACACCAGUGGCGAAGGCGGCUCACUGGUCCGAUACUGACGCUGAGGUGCGAAAGCGUGGGGAGCAAACAGG